UCUUCCUUGUUUAAGCAGUGGCUGAAGAACACCCAGAGUGAAAAUGGGAUUUUACACGGCGGUUCCAUGUCUCUUACACGAGUUCUAAUUCAGGGAGUGGAUAUGUUCGGGAAGCACAUCGGUUUUCUGAAAUUCCAAGCAGAUGUAUUCGAUAAACAAACAGGGAAAAAGGUUCCAGGUGUUGUGUUUGCACGAGGAGCAGCUGUAGCUGUGCUUAACCUUUUGAAGUCAGAGGAGAUGACGUAUGCUGUUCUUACUGAGCAG